rnacentral:rRNA from 1 species
GUUGAACGCUGGCGGAAUGCUUUACACAUGCAAGUCGAGCGGCAGCGCGGGGCAACCUGGCGGCGAGCGGCGAACGGGUGAGUAAUGCAUCGGAACGUACCCCGUCGUGGGGGAUAACUACCCGAAAGGGUAGCUAAUACCGCAUACGACCUGAGGGUGAAAGCGGGGGACCGAAAGGCCUCGCGCGAUGGGAGCGGCCGAUGCCGGAUUAGCUAGUUGGUAGGGUAAAGGCCUACCAAGGCGACGAUCCGUAGCUGGUUUGAGAGGACGACCAGCCACACUGGAACUGAGACACGGUCCAGACUCCUACGGGAGGCAGCAGUGGGGAAUUUUGGACAAUGGGCGAAAGCCUGAUCCAGCCAUUCCGCGUGAGUGAAGAAGGCCUCGG